rnacentral:rRNA from 1 species
UACGUAGGGGGCGAGCGUUGUCCGGAUUUAUUGGGCGUAAAGAGCUCGUAGGCGGUUCGGUAAGUCGGGUGUGAAAUCUCCACGCUCAACGUGGAGGGGCCACUCGAUACUGCCGUGACUCGAGUGCGGGAGAGGAAAGUGGAAUUCCUGGUGUAGCGGUGAAAUGCGUAGAUAUCAGGAGGAACACCGGUGGUGUAGACGGCUUUCUGGACCGUAACUGACGCUGAGACACGAAAGCGUGGGUAGCAAACAGG